CUGUAAUUAGUUAAUACUUCAGUUUUAUCAUAUAUCUUUUGUAUAGUCAUUUUAUAAAAUUUACUGUUUGCAAAAGUAUAAAUUAUUCUAAAUAAUAGGGAUGUUCUGGUACCUAACAGAAAACCCUGGCCGUUUUUGGUACAACUUUUUUGAACUUUUGGUCCUCGAUGCUGUUCAACUUUGUACUUGUUUCGGCUUUCAAACUUUUGUAUCUGGGCGUCACUAGU
rnacentral:lncRNA from 1 species